rnacentral:rRNA from 1 species
UACGUAGGGUGCGAGCGUUGUCCGGAAUUAUUGGGCGUAAAGAGCUUGUAGGCGGUUUGUCGCGUCUGCUGUGAAAAUCCGGGGGCUCAACCCCCGGACUUGCAGUGGGUACGGGGCAGACUAGAGUGUGGUAGGGGAGACUGGAAUUCCUGGUGUAGCGGUGAAAUGCGCAGAUAUCAGGAGGAACACCGAUGGCGAAG